CUCUAGUUAUAUUCUUCUUAUUCUUUGUUCCUUUUUAAUUCUUCCGCCCUUUCCUUUUCCCCGUUAUCUUUCCAUCCUUUCCUUUCAAUCAUGUCUGCCUUCCAUAAGUCAAACGACCCUUCGCCUUACCCCUUCUCUUUAUUACCUUCUUCUUCCCUCUUUCUUUCCUCUCCCAUUUCCUCUUCCAGUUCCUUUGAAAUCGACUUCAUCUCCUCCGAAUCUUCAGAGGCAGAGUCGCUUGACUCUUCUCCUUCAACCAAAAAGCGCCCCUCUAAAGAAAAGAAGAAGAAAGCAAAUAAACCUCGUCCAACGCUUCCUGAGUCCUUUUCUGAUGAAGACUCUUCGAAGUUUUGGGGUUUGGAGCACAAAUAAGAUAUGUGGCGUUCUCUAAACGUCCAAUUGUUCCUAGAUGAGUAAUUAACUUGGAACAACUUGAAGCAUCUCACUGCGCGGUAAGUUUGUUCGUUCAUGCUCAAAAACUAUCUCUGUUACUUCGUCUGUGUGAGCUAGAAUUUUUUGAAGAACAUGUGCGUCUCUUUUAUGCAAAUCUUUCCUGAUAAUGGUGAAUAAGAAACCCUUGUUCUGGGGAAUCGUAUUGUGUUAAAUGAUUUUCUGUUUAAAGAUGUGUUUGGAUCUGAGUUUUCUGGUGAUAUUCCCUUUAUACAUUGUAAUUUAUGGCCUGAAAAUUUUGAAACAUCCUUGGAUAAUGCUAAAUUUUUUGUCUCUGAAUCUGGCGCUGAUCUUACCGCUUUUGUUCCUCUUUAUCUUGGCUUUGAGAAUCGCACACUCACUCAUAUUGUGGCCAAAACUCUCAUACAUUAGAAGGGUUCACUCAGUAACAUCUCCAAUAGAGAUGUUUAUGUACUUUACUGUCUUCUGAAGAAGUUUCCCAUUAACUGGGCAACGUGGUUCCAUGAAUACAUGGUGGAAAGCUUGGCGGACAGUAACAUUUCUUCCUGUCUACCAUAUGGCUUACUAAGAUCGCGCAUCAUAAUUGACUCACUAGUGGAUCUCUCUCCAUACACUCUGGUUCAUAUUGAUGAUACAUACGACACUCGCACCUUCUCAAGUUAGGGUUAUGUUCUGGUCGAUACAAAAUGGUACAAGAAGGAAACUGUGCAACAAAGAGCUGAUAACCCAAAAGUAACUCGUAACUCUGCCGACUCUGCUUCUUCAAGAGACCGACAAAAUAAAGUUGGAAGUUGAUGGACUUAAAAAGUAGGCACUUCGAUCAGUCAACUCUAUACUCAAAGGAGUCAACUCUAUCAAAAUAGGAGCUACCUCAGCUCACAAUGAAUUGGCUGUCAAUGUGAACACCUCCUUUUCCAACUUCUCCAAAAAUGUGGAGCGACCAUAUGACAAAUUCUGUAGGAAUGUGAUCAGCACGCUUACGUACUUCCUUGGUAAACAUUAAAGUGCUGAUUUGUCUUUCUCGUUUGGAUAAGACUACUGUUGGAGCUAUAUCUCCUUUCUUAUUUUACCUUUUGGACUGUAAUAUUGAGGCGUCGUCCUCAACUCUACAUCAUUGUCUAGUUGUUUUGGAUUUGGUUUA